ACKGCUCAGUAACACGUGGACAACCUACCCUCAGCACGGGGAUAAACCCGGGAAACUGGGUAUAAUACCCGAUAGUUCUGGGAUGCUGGAAUGCUUCCAGGACGAAAGCUCCGGCGACUGAGGAUGGGUCUGCGGCCUAUCAGGUAGUAGUGGGUGUAAUGUACCUACUAGCCUACGACGGGUACGGGUCGUGAGAGCGAGAGCCCGGAGAUGGAUUCUGAGACACGAAUCCAGGCCCUACGGGGCGCAGCAGGCGCGAAAACUUUACAAUGCGGGAAACCGUGAUAAGGGAACUCCGAGUGCCCGUAAAAUCGGGCUGUCCAUCUGUUUAAAUAACAGGUGAAGAAAGGGCCGGGCAAGACCGGUGCCAGCCGCCGCGGUAAUACCGGCGGCUCGAGUGGUGGCCACUAUUACUGGGCUUAAAGCGUUCGUAGCUGGUUUGUUAAGUCUCUGGGGAAAUCUGCCGGCUCAACCGGCAGGCGUUCCAGGGAUACUGGCAGACUAGGGACCGGGAGAGGUGAGGGGUACUCCAGGGGUAGGAGUGAAAUCCUGUAAUCCUUGGGGGACCACCUGUGGCGAAGGCGCCUCACCAGAACGGCUCCGACAGUGAGGGACGAAAGCUGGGGGAGCAAACCGGAUUAGAUACCCGGGUAGUCCCAGCCGUAAACGAUGCGCGUUAGGUGUAUCGGUGACCACGAGUCACCGAGGUGCCGAAGAGAAAUCGUGAAACGUGCCGCCUGGGAAGUACGGUCGCAAGGCUGAAACUUAAAGGAAUUGGCGGGGGAGCAC
rnacentral:rRNA from 1 species